rnacentral:rRNA from 1 species
GCUUACCAUGCAAGNNNNNNNGAGAACGGUACUAGCUUGCUAGUAUGUCCGCUAAGUGGCGGACGGGUGAGUAAUGUAUAGUUAAUUUGCCCCUUGGAGAGGGAUAGCCACUGGAAACGGUGAUUAAUACCUCAUACUCCUUCUCUCUUAAUGAGAGUUGGGAAAUGUUUUUUCGCCAAGGGAUAAGACUAUAUGGUAUCAGGUAGUUGGUGGGGUAAGAGCCUACCAAGCCAAUGACGCCUAGCUGGUCUGAGAGGAUGAUCAGCCACACUGGAACUGAGACACGGUCCAGACUCCUACGGGAGGCAGCAGUGGGGAAUAUUGCACAAUGGAGGAAACUCUGAUGCAGCAACGCCGCGUGGAGGAUGACGCAUUUCGGUGUGUAAACUCCUUUUAUAUGGGGAAGAUAAUGACNGUACCAUAUGAAUAAGCACCGGCUAACUCCGUGCCAGCAGCCCCGGUAAUACGGAGGGGGCAAGCGUUACUNGGAAUCNCUGGGCGUAAAGCGCGCCCAGGCGGUUUGANAANUUUGAAUGUGAAAGCCUAUGGCU